UACGUAGGGUGCAAGCGUUAAUCGGAAUUACUGGGCGUAAAGCGUGCGCAGGCGGUUCAGAAAGAAAGGUGUGAAAUCCCAGGGCUUAACCUUGGAACUGCACUUUUAACUACCGGGCUAGAGUACGGCAGAGGGGGGUAGAAUUCCACGUGUAGCAGUGAAAUGCGUAGAGAUGUGGAGGAAUACCGAUGGCGAAGGCAGCCCCCUGGGAUGAUACUGACGCUCAUGCACGAAAGCGUGGGGAGCAAACAGG
rnacentral:rRNA from 1 species